rnacentral:misc_RNA from 1 species
AAUUCUCAACCCUUUUCACUUUUGUGAAUUGGGCUUGGACUUGGAGGUAUUUGCCGGGAACUCCUCGGCUCCUCUCAAAUGUAUUAGUACGUCUCGUUGCGAUGUACGCCUCGGUGUGAUAAUUAUCUACGCUGUGCGUGUGCUUGCUUCCUUUGGGAUGUGCUCUCAAACCGUCCAUCUAGGACAACGAUUAUAUAUAUAAUCGAA